CAACUACAUAGUAGGCUUGGUGCUGCUGGUAUCGCCAGCAGAUAAUAGGGAAGUUGGGCUCUGGUACACAGAGAAACCACGCGGUCCCGCCACUGUAUCCAAGGAGUGCCCCAUGGAAUGCCACUCACUGUUGUGGGGAAGGUAUGGAGGCACGAUGAUCUGGGAGCCAGGAGACCUGCCAGGCUGAACUCGAUCAA
rnacentral:ncRNA from 2 species